rnacentral:tRNA from 1 species
GCCGGGAUAACUCAAUUGGUAGAGUGCCGCAUUCGUAAUGCGGAAGUUGCAGGUUCAAGUCCCGUUCCCGGCU